rnacentral:rRNA from 1 species
GAUGAACGCUGGCGGCGUACCUAAUACAUGCCAGUCGAGCGAACAGAUGAGGAGCUUGCUCCUCUGACGUUAGCGGCGGACGGGUGAGUAACACGUGGAUAACCUACCUAUAAGACUGGGAUAACUUCGGGAAACCGGAGCUAAUACCGGAUAAUAUAUUGAACCGCAUGGUUCAAUAGUGAAAGACGGUUUUGCUGUCACUUAUAGAUGGAUCCGCGCCGCAUUAGCUAGUUGGUAAGGUAACGGCUUACCAAGGCAACGAUGCGUAGCCGACCUGAGAGGGUGAUCGGCCACACUGGAACUGAGACACGGUCCAGACUCCUACGGGAGGCAGCAGUAGGGAAUCUUCCGCAAUGGGCGAAAGCCUGACGGAGCAACGCCGCGUGAGUGAUGAAGGUCUUCGGAUCGUAAAACUCUGUUAUUAGGGAAGAACAAAUGUGUAAGUAACUAUGCACGUCUUGACGGUACCUAAUCAGAAAGCCACGGCUAACUACGUG